AGAGUUUGAUCCUGGCUCAGAUUGAACGCUGGCGGUAUGCUUAACACAUGCAAGUCGAACGGAAACGAAACUAGCUUGCUAGUAGGCGUCGAGUGGCGGACGGGUGAGUAACGCGUAGGAAUCUGCCUGAUAGUGGGGGAUAGCCCGAAGAAAUUCGGAUUAAUACCGCAUAAUCUAUUCGUAGUAAAGUGGGGGACUUUCGAGCCUCACGCUAUCAGAUGAGCCUGCGUAAGAUUAGCUUGUUGGUAGGGUAAAAGCCUACCAAGGCAACGAUCUUUAGCUGGUCUGAGAGGAUGAUCAGCCACAUCGGGACUGAGACACGGCCCGAACUCCUACGGGAGGCAGCAGUGGGGAAUAUUGGACAAUGGGGGCAACCCUGAUCCAGCAAUACCGCGUGUGUGAAGAAGGCCUGAGGGUUGUAAAGCACUUUCAAUUGUGAAGAAAAGUUAACGGUUAACAACCGUUGACCUUGACGUUAACUUUAGAAGAAGCACCGGCUAACUCCGUGCCAGCAGCCGCGGUAAUACGGAGGGUGCAAGCGUUAAUCGGAAUUACUGGGCGUAAAGCGUGCGUAGGCGGUUUAUUAAGUCAGAUGUGAAAGCCCCGGGCUUAACCUGGGAACUGCAUUUGAAACUGGUCAACUAGAGUAUGGUAGAGGAAAGUGGAAUUUCUGGUGUAGCGGUGAAAUGCGUAGAUAUCAGAAGGAACAUCAAUGGCGAAGGCAGCUUUCUGGACCAAUACUGACGCUGAGGUACGAAAGCGUGGGUAGCAAACAGGAUUAGAUACCCUGGUAGUCCACGCCGUAAACGAUGAUAACUAGCCGUUGGGGGGAUUUACCCCUUAGUGGCGAAGCUAACGCGUUAAGUUAUCCGCCUGGGGAGUACGGCCGCAAGGCUAAAACUCAAAGGAAUUGACGGGGACCCGCACAAGCGGUGGAGCAUGUGGUUUAAUUCGAUGCAACGCGAAGAACCUUACCUGGUCUUGACAUCCUGCGAACUUUCUAGAAAUAGAUUGGUGCCUUCGGGAACGCAGUGACAGGUGCUGCAUGGCUGUCGUCAGCUCGUGUCGUGAGAUGUUGGGUUAAGUCCCGUAACGAGCGCAACCCCUAUCCUUAUUUGCCAGCACAUUAUGGUGGGAACUAUAAGGAGACUGCCGGUGAUAAACCGGAGGAAGGCGGGGACGACGUCAAGUCAUCAUGGCCCUUACGACCAGGGCUACACACGUGCUACAAUGGGAAGGACAAAGAGCCGCGAAGCCGCGAGGUGUAGCUAAUCUCAUAAAUCUUUUCGUAGUCCGGAUUGGAGUCUGCAACUCGACUCCAUGAAGUCGGAAUCGCUAGUAAUCGUAGAUCAGAAUGCUACGGUGAAUACGUUCCCGGGUCUUGUACACACCGCCCGUCAUACCAUGGGAGUGGGUUGCACCAGAAGUGGCUAGUCUAACUUUGUGAGGACGGUCACCACGGUGUGAUUCAUGACUGGGGUAAAGUCGUAACAAGGUAACC
rnacentral:rRNA from 1 species